GCGGCGCAUCACGUGAGCUCCGUGUCAUCUCCCCGCCGCCAUCUCGUGCGCGGGGCGCGCGGCCGCGCGAAUCGCGGCUCCUGUGAGGUGAGGGUGGUCCUUUCGGAAAGGCGUUCGAGGCCGCGGGGCCGUGACGUGCAAGGCGGACACCCGCACUUCCUUACAGUGGGCGAGUCCAGCACGACGCUCCGCCUCACCUUCCUCCCGGGUCGUAAAAGCACAGACACACAGAGUCGGGUGCUAUCUGCUUGCUGACAAUCACUUCUGGCAGCCCCGUUCUACUGAUGCUGUAAUAGGAUUAGCGUUGUAGCUGCCACUGCCCCCAGGGUAAGCAUAAUAAACUCUUCCCCUCUGGGGUUGUUCCUGGGUAUGGUCAUUUUUUGGCACUUUAUGAACCUGAAGACUGUGCAAAUCGAUUCCCAGGGAGUCUGACCUCCCUGUUGGGAAUGACAAAGAGCUGACCCAGAGGCUUAGACAUAGCUGUCCCGGGUGGCUGCCUGGCCUUAAUCCUGCUGAUCACCUUGUGAUCCUGACAGCUCCCUCUCCCACAGGGCUGCCACCA
rnacentral:lncRNA from 1 species